UCACGUGACAUUGCAUGUGAAUUCUAAAUUAAGAAUUUUUCGGUUCGCUUAUUCCGGAAAUGCGCAUAGUUCAAUAUGGCGGACUUCGGUUGUAAACAACGUGCUCCGAGAAAACUACACGGGAAACGUUAUAAGAAGGCUCCGCUGUAAAGGUAGAUCAAGUAAAUUAGAGCGAAUGAGAGAAUAAUAACAUCUUAAGAAACAGGACAACACUAAAACUUUUUUACAAAAGAAAAUAUCCGUACAUCGCAAACGACUUGCACCCCUAUUCCAAAGCAGACGAUGCAGCUGGUGUGAAUCAUAAAAUGACAUCAAAUCGAACGAAGGACGAAGAUUUGUUGAGAUGAGGAACUUGACAAACCAGUUUGUAUGCUUACAGUCACAGUGAUAACGGCAAUCGUUUGUAUCUUUUCCAACUUUGAAAGCGAUGGUGACCCGGUACUUUAUUGUAUCAAUACAUUGUGACUGAUAGUGCUGUACUAUUUAUGGAUUUACCGACACUUUCCACGAGAAAGCCCGGCCCCGAAAAGAAUACGAUAGAGAGACCAAAAGUAGCUCUUGCCAUCAAGAUGGUACUUUCUGGUAUAGGACCAUCCAACCCUUGUAGUAAAUUUUCUCAGCACCUGAGUGUACAUGUAACACUUCACCUAUUUGGCAUCACCACUUUGAGGAAAUAGAGAUGUUAGCCUCCGUUAAUUGUGAAACCAAGCCAAGGAGUCUUGUUGGAUAGCUAGAGAUGAAGAAUGUUAAACAGGACCAGUUGAAAUGCAUUUUUGAUGCUGGAUAGCAGACCAGGGGAUCUUGCUGUCAGCAUAAUAGUGAUAAUGAUAAAUUCAUAAAGUACAGAGUACAACUGAUAUAUGAAUGUGAGGUUCAGAACAUUCAUGCUGAUGAUGAUUCAACUACUGCAGCUCAACCGAAGAAUGACUUUCCGCCCCUUCCAAA